GGGGGCAAAACAAUUGCAUGAGUGCUGCUGUUGGACUGAGGAAGAAUAAAGUAGUCCUGCCAAAGCAACAGCCCACCUUUUCAGGCUUUGACUUUUCCACCUCCUCGUCGGUCUUUCCCAGUGCAGCAGCCAGAGCUGGAUCAAGCAGCCAGCAGCCAGACGCCUCCUGCAGGGAGACUAACUGCAGCAAAGGGUCUCUGGGUGGCUGUUCGGGCACAGCAGCUGGAAAAUCUAAGA